GACGUCUUGAAAGGCUAUUAUAAUUUUUUCUUUGACGCCUUACUUCGAAGUCAAAGAAAAAAUUAUAAUAGCCUUUCAAGACAGUCAUAAUUAUU
rnacentral:sRNA from 1 species